AUAAACAGAGAAAAAUUUGAUUAAAAUUUUCAGUUGCAAAUUAUUUGGAAGAACAGAAUUGUUCAGUCUCAGUCUCAGCACUUUCAGUCAGUCUCUGUGAUCGAUGGCAAUGGCGGACAAUGGGCGAGUUGUGUGCAAAUGCACAGCGAGGAGGAGCUUCUGCUUCAGAGAAGUGACUUUCGACGAGAAGCCCAAUCUCCGAAACCAUCUACGAAACGUUUCGACAGUUCCUCUCUUUAGAAACGGCCUCAUUACUCGGUGCCCAUCUGUCGCCGGAAAUAGCAUUCUCAGCAUGGAUGCACGAGAGAAUUCGAGGUCCACCAUAUUGCCAUCAUCAAGACAUCAGAGAGUUCCCAUAUAUGUGAUGAUGCCUGUUGAUGCAUUCUGCAUUGAUGGUUCGGGGCGUCCGAAGAUUAGGAAAAUCAAGGCCUUAACUGUAGCUCUAAAAGCACUCAAGUUGGCUGGUGUCCAUGGAAUUGCAGUUGAAGUUUGGUGGGGAAUCGUGGAGCGUUCCUCUCCUCUUGCAUAUGAUUGGUCUCUAUAUGAAGAGCUUUUCAAACUGGUUUCUAAGUCAGAGUUGAAGUUGCAUGUUGCCUUGUCUUUUCACUCAAACAUGUACUCUUCUUCUAGCAAAAAAGGUGGUGUAAGUCUUCCGCUUUGGAUCAUAGAGAUUGGCGAUCACAAUAAGCACAUAUAUUAUCACGACCAAAAUGGAUUGUCCAAUGAUGAUUAUCUUACACUAGGGGUUGACCACGUGCCUCUGUUCUGCGGCCGGACUGCCGUCCAAUGUUAUGAAGAUUUCAUGUUGAGUUUUGUUAAGAAAUUUGAAUCAUUUAUUGGAGGUGUGAUAGAAGAAAUUAGUGUUGGUCUUGGUCCUUCUGGUGAACUUCGGUAUCCUGCACAUCCUUUUGGCGAUGGUAGAUGGAACUUUCCUGGAAUUGGUGAAUUCCAGUGCUAUGACAAGUACAUGAUGGACGACCUAAGGAUGGCUGCAUGCAAGGAAGGAAAGCCUCAGUGGGGAGAUAGGGGACCACAGAAUGCUGGCGGUUACAACAGUCUCCCAUCUGGAGUUCCUUUCUUUGAAGAGGGAGAGGAAAGCUUUCUUUCUGAUUAUGGGUGUUUUUUCCUUGAAUGGUAUAGUGGUAGGCUGCUUCAUCAUGCAGAUGAUAUUCUUGCAAAGGCAGCUAAAAUUCUGAGGAAAUAUCAAGAAAACAAGAAAACUUCUAUUCUAUUGGUGGCUAAAAUUGGUGGUAUAUUUUGGUGGUAUCAGACAGCAGCACACCCUGCUGAACUUACAGCUGGAUACUACAACACUGCUCUUAGGGAUGGUUAUGAACCUGUUGCUUCAAUUUUGUCUCGUCAUGGAGCUGCUUUGCAUUUUUCCUGCUUAGAAAUGAUGGACACUGAUAACCCAGCAUCCUAUCUUUGCAGCCCAGAGGGAUUACGCCAACAGAUAUGGACUGCUUCAAAGAAAAGGAUAAUACAUUUGAUCGGGAGAAAUACCAAUGAACGAUUUGACAGGGUAGAUUCAUCCUUUGCUUAAGAGAAAAAAGCAAAUUUCAGCUACCUUAUAUUUCUAUUUGACCAUCUAUUGCACACAGAUAUGGGUUGAACAUUAUAUAUUUAAUAUUGCAAUUGGGUUUGCUCUUGUAAGAGAACGAGUAUUUGAUUGAAAGGAGAUGAAAUGUCUGACAAUCCUAGAAUAGCAACAAAUAACUAGUUGGGUUAUGGCAAAUACAUGCUAACUGUCACCAUUCACAGGCCGAAGCUGUAAGAUCAUUUACUUACUUCAGAAUGAAUGAUAAGAUUUUUAGGGCUGAAAACUGGAAUAAUUU